rnacentral:rRNA from 1 species
GUAGGUGGCAAGCGUUGUCCGGAAUUAUUGGGCGUAAAGCGCGCGCAGGUGGGUUCUUUAAGUCUGAUGUGAAAGACCCCCGGGCUCAACCGGGGAGGGUCAUUGGAAACUGGGGAACUUGAGUGCAGGAGAGGAAAGUGGAACUCCACGUGUAGCGGUGAAAUGCGUAGAUAUGUGGAGGAACACCAGUGGCGAAGGCGACUUUCUGGCCUGUAACUGACACUGAGGCGCGAAAGCGUGGGGAGCAAACAGGAUUAGAUACCCUGGUAGUCCACGCCGUAAACGAUGAGUGCUAAGUGUUGGGGGGUUUCCGCCCCUCAGUGCUGCAGCUAACGCAUUAAGCACUCCGCCUGGGGAGUACGGUCGCAAGACUG